rnacentral:lncRNA from 1 species
GGGUCAUCUUUUAAAUAUGUAAAUUCGAUAUUAGAAGGAUUAGUAUCUCUUUGAACUUUUGAAGGUACGAAUGAAGUAACGGGUGGGAUAAUAGCAUUAGAGCUUGGUUUUCUACGUUUUGAUCUAAUGACAAACUUAUCUACCCCGAUUUACAUAGAUGUUUAAAAAUUUUUUUAAAACAAGAUUCAAUUAAUACGACUUUCAAGAAAGAAUCAUUCACUGAAUCAUAUCUACAGA